GGGCGAUUAGCUCAGUUGGGAGAGCCCCUGCCUUACAAGCAGGGGGUCACUGGUUCGAGCCCGGUAUCGCCCACCA
rnacentral:tRNA from 1 species